ACUCUCCUCUUGGGUGGUGGUUUGCAUGAUGUGGAAAUAAGUGGAUGUUCUCCAAGUGUAAUUUUGUCAGGGGACUGCCUGAGGAGUGACCCGAAGCUUUUAGCAGAGGCAUGCAGAGCAGCAAAGUGUGGGCUCAGGAAAGAGAGAAAGACAAAGAAGAGAGACGAAAAUAGAUUGGUAAAGCUUCAAAGAUGGCACUUGGGUUCCUGGGAUUGGAUGUUUGAUGAAGCCACGUAUGAAGGAAGGCAAAGACUCACUCAGAAUCAUGGGAGAAGGAGACUGUUCACCUGGGAGAGGGAGUGCUCACCUUGAGGAGUCCAUGAAUGGAAGAUUCAAGACAGACCAUGGUGGGAAGACAUGUAAAGAUGGUAUGAGUCAAGGGUGAGAAGAGCCCAAUUCAGCACUGCUUUUAGGCAAAGGAAACUCCGCUGACAUCUUAUAGCUUCAGGCAAGUACCAGCAAAAACAUCUGGGCUGGAUCUUGAGCAGUAUAACUCUGCUCGGGGGCCAUUGACUUCAGCGGUGCCACACCGAUUUAUGCAUGUGAAAGGUUUGGCCCUCUGCUCGCUUUCCUGCCGUCAGUCCUGCCUGCUUUUGGGGUCCUGGGGAGUUUUCCAGCUGAAUUUGUGGGGGUCGAUGCAGACAGUUUCCUGGUAAAUGAGAAAAACACUGUCCUUCCAUCCUGCUUCAUCUGCCUGGGAUUUCCAGCCGAAAGGCACUGACUAAUUCCAUCUGGCAGGCUGACCACGCUUCAAAGACUGCAAAUCCUGAGACUUUUAACUUACAAACAAAACCAUGCAUUAAAAAAAAAAAAAGAGAGAGAGAGAAAAAAAUAAAAAGACAGCUCUCCCAAGGGACAGUCUCUGCGAAAUCCAAAACAAGGUCUCAACGCCUGCCCUGGUGCUCCGGCUGACGCCAGUGUUUUUUCUGUCCCUUUUAAAACUGAGCUGGAGUGUUCCCGACUCCUCCGUUCGACACCUCCGGCUCCCUUAUUCCCCUCGAUGAAGCUCCAGGAGAAGGGGGAGCCUGAAGGAGGCCUCAGAUGUCUGUGCAGCUCUUAAAUGCUGUGAAAGGAGCCCUGAUGAAACGUUAAGGCAGUGGGAUGGAUGACACUCAGUGAGAGACUGCUUAGGUCCUGGUCCUGAUGACUGAUGAAACCAGGUUCCUCAUGUAGAUUGCUCCCUGGUUUGAAGCCAUGUGGCUGUUCCAGUGUUCUCUGUCCUGUAAACAUCUCCGAGAACAUGGCACACUGCUUCAUCUGUCUCUCGUUAAGUGGAGAAUGUGAUUAUUAUAAUUAUUAUGCAGACUUGUCAAACCAAUCUGGUGUCUCCAGACUUCACCAAGGAUCAGGUAGUUUCACCAAGAUGCCAUCUUCUUCUUGACAGCUGACACGGAGAAAGCUAAGAAACGUUAAAAAAAAUACAUAUUAAAUAUACUGUACACAAGCAAAAGUGCCAAAAUGCAGGCGGAGUACAUGUCAGGGAAUUAUUUACAGUGGCUGAAGUUUGAAAUCUAUUGAGGCUGAAGUUAAAAUAUCAGCUGGGAUCCCAGCCCAAGCUUGGUCACAAAUGGAACACGUCAAAAAGUGCUCAGGAAAUGAGUAGAGGCCCUGCUGAGCAAAGCCAGCUCUUCUGUGGCUGCUCCUUCCCGCCCCGAGCUCCAGCAGAGAAAGAAAAACCCUGCUAAAAGAAUGAGAGCAGCUGAAGGGAACAAGUGUCAUUGCAGUGCAAUGUCCUCUGGAGAGCCAGGGAGCUGCUAGGCAAGUGCACUCUGGGCAGCGAUGCCCUGGGGAGCUGAGGGCCCUCGUAGCAGAGGCGGGGAGGAAAUUUGCGGCCGACCUAAUGUCUAUCUCGCAGUUAUUGCGGGUAGUAAUAGGACCAGAGUGCAUUAAAACAUCAGGCUAAUUUUGCAGCUGGUGUGAAUUGGUGUUUCUCCACUGAUUGUGAUAGUUCCAUGACGGGAGAAACUGGAUGAGGACUGGGUUUGUUGGCAGCACCCUGUAGAGCACCUUAGAGUAGGUGGGACCCCCUGAGCACCGACAGUGCAGGAACAGGGCUGAGAAGAGUGUGCCAGCUCGGUGGUCAUGCCUUUGGCACAGUGGAUGGUGAGUGAUGUGUAGGAGUAGUUUUACAAAGGUAGGGAAUAAGUGUGCACUGGUGGCGUAGCUCAUGUAGGUGUCAUCACCGAACCCAGGCAGGAGAUUCUGUAACUACCGCUUGUGUAAGAGCAUGAAGUAAAGGGAUUGUGAGGUGAAAAGAGGGUUCACUUUGUAGGACCCCUGCCCAUUGUUAAAUUCCCACAAACACACACACACACAGGCUUGUUGGUCCUCCCAGGACAGGCAUGCUUCCCCUUCCAUUACUCAGCUCUUUGGUGUGUCUCCCGAGACACGCAACAGCAACGCUGUGUGUUCAUGUGCUGCUGCUGCCCGGGCUUCUGGUGUCAUCCUCCCCACAGAUGGAUCCACCUUUCCUUGAGAGAAAGACAGAGAUUGAUACAGACCAUAGACUGACACUUGUCCCUUGUGGUGGAAAGAAAAGUGGGACCUAUCUGUCUUCUGCGAUGACAGCUCAUCUAUCAUCGGACCUUUCCCUCUGAAGUGUUAAGUGGGACCUUUGUGCACAGCUGCUUGAGCUGUCCUCCUUCUGGGUGUGGGUAGGUUCCUUCAGGGCUAGCCGUGACCAAGGGAGAGAUUCUCCAUUUGCUAGUCUGCUCUGUUACCCAGCACCUGUACAACAUUCUUAACUGACCUGAAUAAAAAGCCAGAGGUGAUCAGUUAAUCUCCUGGACUUAAUGGUGUAUGCUGAUGCCUUUCAGCUUGCUAGUGUCCUAGAUCAAAGCCAGAUACAGGUAGCAAAAUCUCUGCACUGUACCAUAGCUCCUCUGAUUCACGCAGUGUCUUUUCUUCUAUUGUCCUCCACUGGAGUUGGAGAAUACUCACUGUGUAGAAGAACUCCCCCCUGGAGAUCCCUUCUCAUCCACAUGCACGGCGCCCUCCCAGGAAUGCUAGGAGGGAGGCCAUGGAGAGCAAUGCUGUGUGAUCUGGUGUGGAGCACCGCAAGCUAAAUGAAGCGUUUCUCCUCCCCGGGGAACACUCACAUGCUCUGAACAGCAGCAGCAGCAGUGUGAGGAUAACCCCAGCGUGGGCAUGGGGCUGACUCAUCUCUCCAGAAGAGGCAACACUGUUUAUUAAUCACUGCUCCUUUGAAGUGGAAAAAUGGAGAAAACCUCUCAUGGCCAACGUUGUGAUUAACCAU